GCUCCCUCUUGGUAACUCAGUUGGUAGAGCAUGAGACUCCUAAUCUUAGGGUUGUGGGUUCAAGCCCCAUGUUCAGAGCC